rnacentral:rRNA from 1 species
UAGGGAAUAUUGCGGCAAUGGGGGCAACCCUGACGCAGCAACUCCACGUGUGGGAUGACGCAUUUCGGUGUGUAAACCACUGUCGAGAGGGAAUAAGGCACAGUUUCGGCUGUGUUGAAUGUACCUUUAAAGGAAGCACCGGCAAACUUCGUGCCAGCAGCCGCGGUAAUACGAGGGGUGCAAGCGCUGUUCGGAAUCACUGGGCGUAAAGGGAGCGUAGGCGGAUAGUCAAGCGUUCUGUGCAAUCUCGGGGCCCAACCCCGAACACGCAGAGCGAACUGAUUAUCUUGAGUAGUUCAGAGGUUGGCGGAAUUCCUGGUGUAGCGGUGGAAUGCGUAGAUAUC